GCGGUGGUAUCAACGCAGAGUACGGGAGAAAGGGGGAGAGAGAGAGAGAGAGAGAAGAGAGGUAGAGAGAAAGCGGAAUCUGACGCGCGUUGGAUACGCGGUUGGAUAAUCGUCUGGACGUUACGGACGAUCCGGUAUUGCUCCGGCCUCCGAGGUUAAAUUGCGAUCAAGGGCUUAACGGUGAUUUCCAAGGCCGGUGGUGAUACGUGACUGAUUUCUACGAUUUAUUCGCGUUCGCGGCUCAUCCCGCACGUAUUAUCGAUCCCGCGGAUUCCGCCCAUCCGCGUGGUGUUCCCGUCGCGGAAGGACGCGCCAAUGGUCGGGCUCCGAGGUCGAAUCCGGAGCGUGGCCAGUUCUCGUUCACGUGCGGAAACCCUCAAAUGGCUCGCCGUUGCCGUACACCGUCCGCGCGCUACGAAAAUUGAAGCGGGGAUUAACUUUACUGUCCGACGGGGAAAAAGAGACUUUACAGGGAAACAGACGAUAUUGGCGACAGGGAGUAGUAUGCCUGUGUGCCGAUAGUUGUAUUACGCCCCGACAUAGUUUAACAAAGGAUUUUUUUGUAUGCUUGGAAAAUGUAAGAGAAAGAGGAAGAGACGGAUAGAUAGGUAGUAUAUUUCUUUACUCCAUUUAUCGUAAAGUAUUAUUAUUACUGUGAUAAUGCGCUUUGCGAUAAUACAGUAUUAUAUACUUUGAUCCGGAAAUUCCGGAGUUGUUUAAAAUAAUUUAAUUUUAAGAAACCCUCGUGAACAUUUCGCAUAAAAUAUUACAUUAUUUCAUAUAAAAUAUAUAUAAUAUUCAGUACAACGGAAUAAUUAAUACAGCUGGAAAAUCCUCAUUUGUAACAUGAAUUUAUCCAGGAACAAGUAUAUUAAAUAUUUUAAUAUCGUAGACAUUGUACGGGAAGAGGGACAUUCCGCGCCUGUCAGGACAUAUAGUACCUACACUCACAAAAUAUUUUUACCAAGUAUUAUGCUUCUCGCUUUACAGUAAUAACAAACGCUGGCAAAAACUUUUAAUGCGAGAUCGGCCGGGUUCUUGCGCGCGCAAAAUAGAAUAACUAGGUGGACCGUGCUUCGAUGCAUAGUUCUUGCGAGUUUUACUGCCAUUAGAAAGGGAAAGCGUAACUGUCAGUCUGUCUACUACUACAUUCCGUAAGCUGGUGUUUAUGAACACACUCGAAGAUUAUGUACGCGAUCCAUCAUCGUUUGUUAGCGGCUAUAAAUCACGGCCGAUAUAGUCGGGCCGUGUCGGUCAAGGUUUAGCAAAUAGAGGUUCCUUUUACAAGGAAGCGCCAAUCGGCUGCGCGCGACAGCCCACGAUACAUUCGAGGGAUUAUCGCCGGCAUUAACAUCGAUUCGCAGAUUGGCGAACCGUCCGGCAGCGCAAUUUUCCCCGUGGAUAUCCCAACGGAGCGCCGCGCCAUUUGCGGCGGGAAUUUAUUUCACGGUGGCAUAAUGGCGCUGGGAAUUCGCCGUCGUGUAUUUAAACGCGGCACCUCGCUGCGAUGAUCUCGUCCUUACCGCGAUUGCGGAUAGCGCGCGCCUCUAAGGCCGAAGGGGGAGGGGAGAGGGAGGGAAAGCCGCCGGCGCGGCGAAAUUAACGGCACCGGCCGCUCUCGCAUAAUCCAACGGGCGAGUAACGGCGCUAGACCGCGUGGCAAUUAGCCCGCGGAAAACACAUAGCCGAACAAAUAUUCUCGGCGCAGCGGCGGUACGUACCGGCCGGCCGGUCGCGAGUGUGUGACCGCGCGGUGAACCGUCGAGGUGAAAACCGUAAUGCGAGAGGGGACGAGACGGAGGGGAAGAAAGGAAGAUCUACGCACACACCCUCGACAACGGCACCGUUACCCGUUACGAUACUCGUCAUUGUGCGCGACCUACCGUACGAGAGAUGUCGUAACGAAGCUCGGUAAUCACGCGGCCGGCCGGAUUUCACGCACACGCACGUUCGUCACGCGGGUUCAUCGUAAACACGCACGUAGGCGCACGGUGGACGCGAGCAAGGUCGACGUGAUCGACGAUAACAGUAAUCUGAGCGUGGGCGAGAUACGGUAAGAGAGAGGAAAGGAUCGAAUACCGUGAACCCGCGUUCAUGUCGUCACAUACCAGAAGAGUCUCCACUCGUAUCCCGUUCGCACUCGUUAAUCCCGCUGCCCUCGGCAUUCGCGCGCGUUUCGCGAUCAGCCGCCGCCGAUAGAGGAACGGCCUAUAUAGCGCGAUGGCUAUCGCCGAGUGUCAUCGCGAUCAUCGCCAUAUAUAUUCGCCGCGACGCGUCACGAGCGGCGGCGACGCGGCGUGCAGCGGUUCGCCGACCGAAUGAGUACUCGCGGCUCUGUCCUACUUUCGGAGCGUGUUCGCCGUAUAUCUCGUUAGACAGCCACCCACGUGGCCCGAAAUAACCCGUCUCUCUACAGCAGUGGGACGUCGCUUGAUGCUAGGGUCGCGAUGCAAAGCAGCCCGAGAGCAAACCGGGAGGAGGAGGAGGGAGAGAAGGUACCAUCGCGGUAAGCGGCGAGCACAUGCCUGUCCGAUCCUCCGACAUUGCCGCUGAGUACAAGGUGGCAUUGGGGAUACAGCCGGUCUCUCCGAUCGCGGUCGCCGAUAGCCGCCGCAUGACAAGCCCAAGGGGUGUACGUAAACGGCUGAAUCUACCUACCAACCUCUCCGAACGACGCAAGGAGCCUCUUGUCCGUUGUGUCUGGCCGCAUUCCCUCAUGCUGUCCCUCUCUCCCCUUGUUUCUCUCUCUCUCUCUCUCUCUCUCUCUCUCUCGCUUUAUAUGAAUAUGUACCCAACGUGAAUGUGUCUCCUCUCCUUGUACUUCUCUUUCUCUUACGCGGGCGCGCGCGCGCGCGCGCUCUAGGUUCCGCUCUCGAAUGGAUUCGGUCGAUAGUCUACAUUCCACGCUUGCUUCGAUACGAACUGCCAAUUUGAUGAUAGAGUACACGGACGACGGCUGAACCUCGCGUUUCGCACGAGCAGCUUAUUACUCAGAUACCGCGAAUGAUGGAGAUGCAGGCGACGGGCAUGCAAAGUAGAGAGGUCUCUUCUCCUCGUGGCCUCCUUCGGGGAACGAAACGAGGCAGGCGAGGACCAAAGACGGGAACGGAGGCAACGGCGACGGUAGACGGUAGACGAUAGUGCGAGACGAUAUCGUUCGAUCGACUGGCUGCUUGAUUAGCGAUUCGCGCCGCAACGCAAACGUUCCUGACCACGGGGGAUGCUAUCGUAUCGAUGCCGUAAAUACCCGACGAAUCGUCGUAUCACCGCCGCUACUGUCUACUUGAUAUUCCCUCCGACGAAUAUUCUAUUCUCGUCCCCUUCGUUUUGCUGACUAGCGCCGACUUGGCAUCUUCGCUAAGUACCGCGCUAUAUCGUACGCGAUUUUCAAAAAUGCGCCGUCGAAUCACCCUGGACAAUCGCGAGGGACACGGGGGAGAGCAAACACGCGGAUGUAUUUACGGCUAACGUGUAUCUACACGUCGUCGCGAUAAUGCGUGUAAAUAUUCCGCUAAUUACACCUUGGAUAAAUCGCAGUUAACAAAUCACGAAUAUUGAUUAGCUAAUUCUCGCGACUGUUUCAGACGGUACGCUCGGUAAUUGGCUCGGAUGAAUAUCGAAGAAAUCAAAUCACUCUCGUCAGAAUAUUAGAGAAGAUACUCACUACCAUCACGGAACACCUCCAUAGUUUACGUUCACGUCUGCGCGUGCGUCUUGGUGCGUUAUUAAUAAUGAACAUUAAUAUUCCGCGAACUAAGUAGCAGAUUCUCACUCCGGUCUUGUCGUCUCGCCAUCGCGUUAUGAUGAAUAUACCAUUCGCCUUCGCCGUGCGUGGCUGGCGAAUUAAAUAGCCAAUAUGCAUGCUCAGUAUAGAUUCAUACGCGUUACGGGCAUUGCGCUGAGAAUAAGAAGUGGAACGAGGAGCAGGGUUAGUUCGUCCGCGCGGCGGAAGUGCCGCAUUGACUUUCCGUGAAUUGGAUGCAAGUCAUAGCCGUACGCCGCAUCCUUACGUGCGUGUAGGCGCGUUGGAAAUUAUAAAAAUACAGAUAACAUUAACGACAAGGUAUUACCAUUCGAAAUCGAGCGCCAAGCUCGCCCCUCGUUGCUCGCGCCGCCGCGUCGCGAUCCUAUUCACUUGAUAUGAUCAUUCAACACGCGGCCGGUGUUAUGUGGUAUUUUCCACUCUCUUUGUUUCUACUGGGUACUUCCACACAGGAUAUCGCGGCGAUACGUAUGAGUAACAAGAAUUAAUAUCCCGCGGUCCGCCGGGGGAGAGCGUUCACUUUUGCCUUGUCCGCUCGACGUCGUCCCACAAUAAAUACAUCUUUCCCUCUUCUUAUUCUACUUCCUUUCCAAUCCUCCGCGGUGUGCGUGCGGCUCUCUCUCUCUCUCUCCCUCUCUCUCUCUCCCUUGUGCACGCAUUCGAUUCUCGCGGGUGUGCUCGCGUGAGCGUGUUGCACAUACGCGCUGGGGUAACGACACUAAAGGAAAUUUGUAAUGAAACGUACAAGACAUAAUGGCGAAUGGCGCAGGAGGCCGGGGGAAGCCACCGAAGCGAUUUAUCACGAACGCGAUGUGAUCGGGGCUCGCUUCUAGCGCUCGGACGUUAAUAACGCCGGCUGCGAAUCACGAGCUCUAUCCCGCCGCCGCAGCCGCCACCACCUCCUUUCUCCAUCGUGUCUACUCCGAUGCAUACCUAAUAAAGCGGCGGCGGCGGCGGCGGCGGCGGUGGCCGCAUCUCCCCAAUGCCGUACGAGGCAUCGCCUUUUCCGUACGGUCGCAUAAAAAGCCUACGACAGCGACAACAAAGACGGCGACGACAUGCCACGAUGACGGCGGGAAAAAGCGUGCAAGGUCGCGCGACGGUAUCCACGUAAAUGUACGGUAUGCUCGUUCAUCUGGAAUUCGAAAAGACGACGGGGGACUUCGGGCACUGCGAGAAAAAUGAGACGCGCGCUCGAAUCUCGCGAGCCUCGGAUUCAGAUGAGUGCCGAUAGUAAUUAUCGCGUCCGCGCGAAACGACCGGUCUUCCAUUAUUCGAUCCUUAAGAGGAUAGAAGCGUGUCGUUACGCACGGCGGUCGAGUUAAAUGACAUAAGAAUUAAACCUUUUAUGCCGCAUCCGGUUUUAAUUGACAGUAUAAAAAUCAAAAGCUGAUAAGAAAAGGACGCUAAGGCAAAACGGGAGAGGUAAUUAUCAAUUUCCAGUAGCAAUUGCAAAUACCGCCGCCUCAAUAAUUGUUCUUACUGCUCAACAUCGAGUGCAGUUUGCGAAAGGAAGAAUAUGAAGACGUGGUCUUUUUUAACGGAGCAACCUUCAAAUACGCCCGUGCGCAAAGAGUCUUUACCCUUCUGAAAGAACAUUUCUACGGUCAGCAGAAAACGCGAACGAUCGUUCCUGCGCGACGUGUCCUAAUCGGAUAUUGUCCUGGAAAGAGCGGCGAGGUGUAGGCCAUCGUCUUCUCUCUCAAUCGUGCUUUCCUUAAAGUCAAUUCAGAGGUACGUAAUAGAGUGGCCUUUCUUCUCGGAUCUACGUUUAGACGGGUCAGAAUGCGCGGGCAUGGUCACUGAAAAGUUCGUGCUUCGUAUUCGAAUGAGAGCGGUUCUCUGCACGGCGGUACGAGGUUCGUGUACCAGUGAUCGCGUUAGUGGUGGUGUCGAUAGAGGUCCGGAACUAUACGGACGGAUGUAUCCUGCCAGCAGGCUAGAUAGCACCGGAGUUGGAAGAUGAGAAGAAGAGUACGACGUUGGCUCAGAGCGGAAAGGAGUGAGAGAGAAAGAAAAGGAGAGACAAAGAGAGAACUAAUAUUAAAGCCAAUGCUGGCGGAACGACGGCGGUAUGUGUAACAAUCCCAUGAUUGCUGUACCACUGCCGGGUUCGACGUUCACCGGUCUCCUUCAGGAUUCAUUCCUCUCCCAUCUCCUUUGUCUAGUUUCACGUUGCCCACACCUCGCAGUUUCGUGUAGAUCUGUUGUAGAACAGAGGAGAGAGAGAAAGAGAAAGAGGAAAAGAGCCAAGAGUACGAAGAAGCCAGCGGUAGAUCCGGAAGUGGACAGAAAAGAUCUGAAGGCGGCGUGUAUCGUACCGCACGCGGUGGAAUGGACGUUUGAUGUAAAAAUAGAAAAAGCAGUCGGCAUGUUUUGUCGGGCGCGGGAGCGCGAUGGAACGCGAACGACGGAACGGGGGCAAAGAACCGAAACGGACCGGGUUGCCAGCUCGGCCGCGAACAGUCUCUAGCCAGCCUAUCGAGUUCGAGUCCCGUUCAACGAGUUGGCAAACUGUUCUCAACGCUGUAUUCGUUCUACGCCGCCGUGUAGCUCUGACCCCCGCGAUAUAACUAUCCUAAAAGAGAAAGCAAAAGCUAUAUGUAGUGGCCAAGGAAGAAAAGAGGUAGAAAGAGAGAAUCAGAGGGAUAUAUAGCUAGAGUACUGCAUUUCCUGCCCUCUUGUAACUUUUAUGAUCCGCGUAAAACAGCGAUUUUCACUGGUUCCGCUUGCAUCGAUUCGACCUUUCCUCUUUGUCUUUUUUUCCCCACUUUUUUGCACUUUCUCCCUAUUUCUCUUUUUCCGUAGUUGGCCACGUUCUUUUUUUUCCUACCUUGCACUAGUUGCUACACACGUUUUGUUAACUCGUGCUUUUUCACCGGCGCAAACUGAGAUUCAUACAGUUGACCUCUUUCUCUAAUUUUUAUUAUAUAUACUCAUUUCCAAAGAAAUAUAUUACAGAAUUUAUUAUAUAUAUCCUUAGAGCUGUAUUACGUACCUAUAGAAAGAUAUUUAAUAAUUGACAACAAAGUUGUAAAGUAGCGAAAAAAAA
rnacentral:lncRNA from 1 species